UCAUGACACAAUAUGGAGCCCGCAUAAGCUGCGUUUAUUGGGUAUAAGUAUUGGCAUCAGGAAUACCCGCCCUGUAGUUACUCAGUAUCAGAUCGAUACCAAAGCUGUUACAGCUCUGCUAAUCACAGUUCAAUCAAGUUCACUUCUCCAUCCCUGAGAGAUCCUCUUGGUCAUACCGUAUUUUAAUAGGAAGAAUCGGAUUUUAUAUUCUCCGCAUGCUCAUUGGAUAGGAGCCUGUCAAUCACAAAUUAUUAGCCAAUGAGCAAGCCGUUUCACAGCCAGAUCCGUGCUUCCAAAGUAACGUGGGUUUUCUCGCAACCAAGAUGGCGACCGCAAAAAAAAAACAAACAAAAAAACGCUCAUCCCGAUGCUUUCAAACGCUUUCAGAAAACAGCGCGUGGCAUCACCUGUAGCUACGAUCGCACCUGACAACCUCGUGAACCACGUGGGUCUCUGCUCCCUGAUCUGUUUCCUGUGUUUGGAAAGAGUUCCAGCUUCAUCACGGAGUUUCUCUCGGUUUGUGGGCUCAUCUAAAGCUGAUCAGCAGGAGGAGAGUCUGACAGAGCAGCAGAGAAAGAUUUUCAGCUAUUUGGUCUCAGCUGAGUCACUACAAAGGAAACAAUGACUUUCACAGAAAAGGACCAACAUGGACCGAAAAGUCAGCGCUCUCAGGAGGCCGACAAACCUCACAGAAGAAAG